GAUGAACGCUGGCGGCGUGCCUAAUACAUGCAAGUCGAGCGAACGGACGAGAAGCUUGCUUCUCUGAUGUUAGCGGCGGACGUGUGAGUAACACGUGGAUAACCUACCUAUAAGACUGGGAUAACUUCGGGAAACCGGAGCUAAUAACGGAUAAUAUUUUGAACCGCAUGGUUCAAAAGUGAAAGACGGUCUUGCUGUCACUUAUAGAUGGAUCCGCGCUGCAUUAGCUAGUUGGUAAGGUAACGGCUUACCAAGGCAACGAUGCAUAGCCGACCUGAGAGGGUGAUCGGCCACACUGGAACUGAGACACGGUCCAGACUCCUACGGGAGGCAGCAGUAGGGAAUCUUCCGCAAUGGGCGAAAGCCUGACGGAGCAACGCCGCGUGAGUGAUGAAGGUCUUCGGAUCGUAAAACUCUGUUAUUAGGGAAGAACAUAUGUGUAAGUAACUGUGCACAUCUUGACGGUACCUAAUCAGAAAGCCACGGCUAACUACGUG
rnacentral:rRNA from 1 species